rnacentral:lncRNA from 1 species
AUCUCAGAGAAAUACUAUUACUCAGCAUGGGAGCCAGGAUUCUAAAAAAGAUCAUCACACUGUGAGCUUUUGAUUACAUGAGAUUUAAUAGAAAUUAUUCAUAGAAUACAUUAUAAAUAAGUAUAAAACAUGUAAUCGUUAAAUGCUAUAUUUAUAUGAAUAUAUAGUAAAUAUAUAAAUACAGAUUUAUAAACAUCUGUCAAAUAUAUAAAUGUAUUUCUAAAUAUACAUUUUCUAUAAAUGGCCAUAUUUAGUAGAUAUAACUAGGAAGUGUGAAAGGACCUAUAAUUCAUAAAUAAAACUUUCCAUGCCUCAUGUAUUUAACAUAAGCUUAUUCUAUGAAACAGUAGAGAAAAUAUGUCCCUAUGACUAUAUUUUGCUUCUGACUGUUCUUUUGCACAAACAUCAACAACGCGUUUUUCUAUUGCUUUUGCUUCUUUAUUGUCUUGAGUCUUUAAACAUUGACAAUUAGCAAAGGAGGAAAUUUUUUUUUCUUUUUACAGCUGUACCUGCAGCAUAGGGAAUUUCCCAACCAAGGAGCCUACAGCUGAUGGCCUACACCACAGCCACAGCAACACUGGUGGCUUGCAGCAACGUGGAUCCUUAACCCACAGAGCGAGGUCACGGCUCGAACCCGCAUCCUCACAGACUCUGUGUCACAUUCUUAACCCACUGAGCCACAAUGGGAACUCCAAAGGAGGAAAUAUUUUCUGUAAAUUUAAAACAUUUGCAACUCUUCUUUCCCUUCAUCUAGGCAAGUUAACUUGAAGCAGCAGGAAAGAAGAGAGGAAAAAUUAAAUUGUUAAUUUUGUGACUUACAGUGAGGCUUGUGAAUAUAUGACCAGACCAGUUUACCUACUACUUAAAACAUAACUUUAUAAUUAUCAUUUGGGAGUUCCCGUCGUGGCGCAGUGGUUAACGAAUCCGACUAGGAACCAUGAGGUCGCGGGUUCGGUCCCUGCCCUUGCUCAGUGGGUUAACGAUCCGGCGUUGCCGUGAGCUGUGGUGUAGGUUGCAGACGCGGCUCGGAUCCCGCGUUGCUGUGGCUCUGGCGUAGGCCGGUGGCUACAGCUCCGAUUCAACCCCUAGCCUGGGAACCUCCAUAUGCCGCGGAAGCGGCCCAAGAUAUAGCAACAACAACAACAAAAGACAAAAAAAGACAAAAAAUUAAAAAAAAAAUAAUUAUCAUUUGGUUUUACUGCUUCCUAUUCUUUCCUUUUAUCCAACAUCACAAUCAGCAUUAGCUACUGGCUACCUAGAGCAUCCAUUCUAAGCAAAAUUACAAAACUGUCAGUCAUAUUUUUACUUUAGAAAACAUGUGAGUGAGCCAAAGCUUAGUGCUAGUCAGCUGUUAAAACUCAAUCAUUGAGCACUGAGGAUACGCAAUUGCUCUGUCCAGUGGGAGAGUAGGAACAAGAGCAAAUCCUGAGCAGGUCAAGAAUCCCAUGAAGAGUGGGCCACAAAACAUGUGGUCAGCAGUAUCAGGUCAGUAUCAAAACACAGAGAAGGAGUAUUCAGAGCACAGAAAGAAUAAUUUUUGGAGGGGGGCCCACCCCUAGUGUACCCCUUGUGAGCCUUGCCCGGGCAGUCUCCAUCAGCACCUUGGUGUUGUGGUGACACAGCCUUCCAUCUUGAGCUUCUCUAGGUGUGUCUGAGGACUCGUUCCUUGGUGUAGAGAGUCCACCACUCUAUGAAUUAGACUCUAACAGUACAAUCCCACUAAACUGGAUGUCAGUGAUCUCUGCUCCAGCCACCAGGGCCAAGUCCCUGUCUUCUCUCUACCCUGACUCCCCUGAAAAUCAUGUAUCACAAGAUUGAGGAUCUGCUAAGGCCAUGCUGAUUCUUUUUAACUUAAUGUAUCUAUGUCGCAUUGUAACAUCUGGCCAAUAAAAGCCCCUAUUUAAUCAUGUGUUUCAGACUCCCCAGACCCUGCUCCUUCCCACUCUUCUCUCCAUAAAAGUUCCUAAAUUCAAGACUCUGUGAUCUGAGUCUAUAAAUCUCAAGUUCUAUAAAAUUCUUUUACUUAAUACAAGUUGUCUGUAUUUCGCUUUGCUAAAAAAUGGGUUGUCUAUGUUUCACUUUCAACUACCAGAUUAAACUCUUUCAGACUGACAGUGUUUUAAUGUUUCCUAAAGUGCCAAAAUUAAUUAAAAGAUGUAACAUAUAAUAAGAGAUAAUCUCGAUCUUAAACAUUUUAAUCAUUUCUAAAAGUUUGUAAUUAUUUUUUCCAAUUGUAUAUUUAUCCUACUGUCUGGUAAGUAUGCCCCUUUUAGCCUAGUUUUCCUACACUCAUCAAAAAAAUGGCCUGCAAGACAACCUCCAGAACUGCACCCAAUGCAAACUCGAGUACAUGCUAGCAUUUCAACUCACAUUUAUAAGCAGUGUGCUAUGGACACUGAAAACUCACCUCUCAUCUUGUACAACAGUUGUUCAAUGGGAGGCCAUCUGAAACCAAAAAAUCUUAUUUUCCUGGGCAUUGGGCAACAUGGCAGUAUUAGCACUGAUUAUUUUGUUUCUAAAUUAGACUUAAUUUGCUUUAGAACAGAGAAGAUGCCCUUCCUAAUCAAUAUAAUAUCUGUCACGCAAUGGAAUCUUAGAAAAUACAUAGUGAUUACUAAGAUCUCAUCCAUCUAGACUUUUGUAUAUACUAAUUUUAUUUAAUGUCAAAUAGCAUUGAUUUAAGAUAGUCAAUGUAGUCUUUGAAAAAACAUAUCCCCAGAAUACAUAUUUUUUUGACAUUUGCUUUGAGGUAGACUUCUUAGUAUCACAGAAUAAUAUUGGAAUUCAACCUGAUAUAAGAAUAUACAAAAAAAAAAGAGUCAGAAACUCACCCUCUGCUUAUAUAAUUUAAAUCACAUAGUUCCUCCUCUUUUAAUAUUUUGCUUUGCAACAGAAAAAGAAAUGGUGUAAGAAUUCGGCCCUUUGGAACAUAAACCAUUUUCAGGAAUUCCUCAAUAUUCUCACUCCAAUUUUUUAACAAGUAAUGAAAAAGUUAAUCAUUAACAGAGUUAAUCAUUUAGAUUUCACAGCUUCUAAAAUAUCUCCCAUUACUCAACAAUCCUUUCUCUUUCUCUCCCUUCCUCCUUCUCCCCCUCUCCUUCCAUCCUGAAAACAUCUGACUGAAAAUGCAAGAAAAAACUGAGGAUUAUGUUUCCGAAUGGAAAGCCAAAAUCCUUGAGAUGCUUAUGUCAGACCAUAGGGUCUGUGUUUAGAAUUUCCCCACCUUUAUUAUUCAGCUUUGUUCUCAGGCAGAGGAAGAUGGACAGGAAGUGACAGGAACUUCCAGUGAUGACCCCGUCCCUGCCUCAUAGAGUAGAAAGUACAGUCCUCUACUCUCAGAUAAGAGAAAACUCAAAAGGAAGGAGACAGAGAAUGAGGAAGAAGGGGGUACAGGACAGCUGAGGGACAGCAGAAUGAAGGGUACCCAGUGCCUCCCUCACUGUCCCUCAGGUUGUGAUAACCAGGUGACCCCAGCAAGACUUGCACUGCCCAGAGCAUGUUCACCUUGCCACUCACUGCACUGUCCUGUGCCCCAAUUUAAAAUGGGAAUAAAGAAAAACUACUUCCCAGGGUGGUUGCAGGGAUCAAAUGAGUUAACAUAAAAAAAGCUCUUAGAAAAAGGCCUGGCACACAAUAAGCCCUCACUAAAUCAUUUUGUAAGAAACAACAUGGCGUACAAGAAGCACAAGGACAUAAAAUUUAGAAAGGACUUGAAAAUGGUUUUUGAAAGCCUUGGGGAAGGAGAGGAAUUAUAUGAGGAAAAUGGCACUCUUUUAUCUUUUUGAAAUACAGAAAUUUUUAAUAUACCUAGAAAAUGGGCAAGGGAACAGUUUUUAUCUGUUUGCUUCUUUUGGUUUUUGACAGAACAUAAGACUCUCUAACUCCGGUCUCAUAGUAAAGCAGUUCAUCCAUAUGGGCAGAGUGUGAGAAUUAAAAUAUCUUGUCCACUAUCUACCACUGUUCCUUCCAUGACAGGUCAAUAUUGCUUGUCCCAGAGGAGCUGGCUUAAUGGCCUGCAUCAGCAGCAUACUGUAUGAUUCAUUUCUUUGCAAGAAAGUCAGUCAUCAUUUUCAUAAACAUUUGCAGUCACUGCUCAUCUCUGCUGCAGCAUUCCUGUGACACAGCCUCAUUGUUUUGUUAAGCAGCAGAGUCUGUGUGCUCUGUCAGGACAUUGACAAGCCCUGCUAAUCUCUGGAAUGACUCCAGCAGGGAAAUUAAAGCCCCAAACAUGGGACGGCAAUGAUUCAGCCUGUGGUCAGUUAGGCAGGGACUGGACUGAGACCACAAUGUUGAAACAUAUUUUAAGAAUAAACAGUGUGAAGGACACAGAGCAAACUAGGGGUCAGAGUAGAGUGAGAGAAGAGCAUCAAAAAUUAAGAGAAUAGCAUUAUUGUUGCUGGGGGAGCUUUGGGGAAAAGAAGAAACAGUAAGAAAGAAGGAUCUGUUGAGAUACAUAGAGAUCUAGAUCUCUCUUGGAGGAGCCAUGCAACCUCAAGCAACUUUCUUCACAUCUAUGAAUCUGGUUUUCACCUGUAAAAAUAAUAAUAAUUGUACAGAAUUUACUAUGUGGCAGGCCUUAUUAUAUCUGCUUUAUAUGUGUCAACUCAUUUUAUCAUCACAGCAACCUGAUGGGGUAGGUAUUAAAAUGUUGUCAUUAUUUUAACCCAUUUUACAGAAUAGGAAACUGGAGGAACAAAGAUUAGGUCAUUUGUUGGGAAUUCCUGUUGAGGCUCAGUGGGUUAUGAACCCAAGUAGUAUCCAUGAGGAUGUGGGUUUGAUCCCUGGCCUCACUUAAUGGAUUAAUGAUCCAGCAUUGCCAUGAGCUGUGGUGUAAGCCAGUAGCUGCAGCUCCGAUUCAG